CCUACGGGGUGCAGCAGUGGGGAAUAUUGCACAAUGGGCGCAAGCCUGAUGCAGCCAUGCCGCGUGUAUGAAGAAGGCCUUCGGGUUGUAAAGUACUUUCAGCGGGGAGGAAGGGAGUAAAGUUAAUACCUUUGCUCAUUGACGUUACCCGCAGAAGAAGCACCGGCUAACUCCGUGCCAGCAGCCGCGGUAAUACGGAGGGUGCAAGCGUUAAUCGGAAUUACUGGGCGUAAAGCGCACGCAGGCGGUUUGUUAAGUCAGAUGUGAAAUCCCCGGGCUCAACCUGGGAACUGCAUCUGAUACUGGCAAGCUUGAGUCUCGUAGAGGGGGGUAGAAUUCCAGGUGUAGCGGUGAAAUGCGUAGAGAUCUGGAGGAAUACCGGUGGCGAAGGCGGCAACCUGGCUCGAUACUGACGCUGAGGCGCGAAAGCGUGGGGAGCAAACAGGAUUAGAUACCCGGGUAGUC
rnacentral:rRNA from 1 species